GAUGAACGCUGGCGGCGUGCCUAAUACAUGCAAGUCGAGCGAACAGACGAGGAGCUUGCUCCUCUGACGUUAGCGGCGGACGGGUGAGUAACACGUGGAUAACCUACCUAUAAGACUGGGACAACUUCGGGAAACCGGAGCUAAUACCGGAUAAUAUAUUGAACCGCAUGGUUCAAUAGUGAAAGACGGUUUUGCUGUCACUUAUAGAUGGAUCCGCGCCGCAUUAGCUAGUUGGUAAGGUAACGGCUUACCAAGGCAACGAUGCGUAGCCGACCUGAGAGGGUGAUCGGCCACACUGGAGCUGAGACACGGUCCAGACUCCUACGGGAGGCAGCAGUAGGGAAUCUUCCGCAAUGGUCGAAAGCCUGACGGAGCAACGCCGCGUGAGUGAUGAAGGUCUUCGGAUCGUAAAACUCUGUUAUUAGGGAAGAACAAAUGUGUAAGUAACUAUGCACGUCUUGACGGUACCUAAUCAGAAAGCCACGGCUAACUACGUG
rnacentral:rRNA from 1 species